rfam:Arabis alpina cultivar Pajares scaff_64953_1_contig_8, whole genome shotgun sequence.
ACUCCAUGGUGAGGACAAGAUCUAGUGUAACACUUCAAUCUUUCCCAAGCUUCAUUGAGAUUUUAGAGCGUCGUUGGGGCCUUGUUUGAAGCUCGUGAUAUCAUUCCUAAUUCG